UACGUAGGGUGCAAGCGUUGUCCGGAAUUAUUGGGCGUAAAGAGCUCGUAGGCGGUUUGUCGCGUCGGCUGUGAAAACCUGGGGCUCAACCCCGGGCCUGCAGCCGAUACGGGCAAACUAGGAUUCGGUAGGGGAGACUGGAAUUCCUGGUGUAGCGGUGAAAUGCGCAGAUAUCAGGAGGAACACCGGUGGCGAAGGCGGGUCUCUGGGCCGAUAUUGACGCUGAGGAGCGAAAGCGUGGGGAGCAAACAGG
rnacentral:rRNA from 1 species